UUGGACAAAGAGUAAAAAACAAACAAAAAC
rnacentral:sRNA from 1 species